rnacentral:rRNA from 1 species
AAUACGGAGGGUGCAAGCGUUAAUUGGAAUUACUGGGCGUAAAGCGCACGCAGGCGGUUUGUUAAGUCAGAUGUGAAAUCCCCGAGCUCAACUUGGGAACUGCAUUUGAAACUGGCAAGCUAGAGUCUCGUAGAGGGGGGUAGAAUUCCAGGUGUAGCGGUGAAAUGCGUAGAGAUCUGGAGGAAUACCGGUGGCGAAGGCGGCCCCCUGGACGAAGACUGACGCUCAGGUGCGAAAGCGUGGGGAGCAAACAGGAUUAGAUACCCUGGUAGUCCACGCCGUAAACGAUGUCGANUUGGAGGUUGUGCCCUUGAGGCGUGGCUUCCGGAGCUAACGCGUUAANUCGACCGCCUGGGGAGUACGGCCGCAAGGUUAAAACUCAAAUGAAUUGACGGGGGCCCGCACAAGCGGUGGAGCAUGUGGUUUAAUUCGAUGCAACGCGAAGAACCUUACCUACUCUUGACAUCCAGAGAACUUUGCAGAGAUNNNUUGGUGCCUUCGGGAACUCUGAGACAGGUGCUGCAUGGCUGUCGUCAGCUCGUGUUGUGAAAUGUUGGGUUAAGUCCCGCAACGAGCGCAACCCUUAUCCUUUGUUGCCAGCGGUUCGGCCGGGAACUCAAAGGAGACCUGGCCA